AAUUUACUGUAGUGUGGCAUUAUGGGAUUGCGCGCGCAUCAUUCAAAUUCAGAAACCCAGCCGACUAGAGCAGCUCGAGAACGAUUGAAGAUAAGAGGCUUUAUUCAUAAUUCCUGGUGCAAAGAAUAUCAGAUGAUGUGGAGAAAUGUUCGAUGCUUCAAGACUCUGAAGCUGAUUUUAUUAGGUCCACCCAGUGGCUAUUGACUAUUUGAGGGUCAGAUGGUUGUG